GUGGGCGUAGCUCAGUUGGUAGAGCCCUGGAUUGUGGCUCCAGUGGUCGAGGGUUCGAGUCCCUUCGCUCACCCCA
rnacentral:tRNA from 1 species